rnacentral:rRNA from 1 species
GAUGAACGCUGGCGGCGUGCCUAAUACAUGCAAGUCGAGCGAACAGACGAGGAGCUUGCUCCUCUGACGUUAGCGGCGGACGGGUGAGUAACACGUGGAUAACCUACCUAUAAGACUGGGAUAACUUCGGGAAACCGGAGCUAAUACCGGAUAAUAUAUUGAACCGCAUGGUUCAAUAGUGAAAGACGGUUUUGCUGUCACUUAUAGAUGGAUCCGCGCCGCAUUAGCUAGUUGGUAAGGUAACGGCUUACCAAGGCAACGAUGCGUAGCCGACCCGAGAGGGUGAUCGGCCACACUGGAACUGAGACACGGUCCAGACUCCUACGGGAGGCAGCAGUAGGGAAUCUUCCGCAAUGGGCGAAAGCCUGACGGAGCAACGCCGCGUGAGUGAUGAAGGUCUGCGGAUCGUAAAACGCUGUUAUUAGGGGAGAACAAAUGUGUAAGUAACUAUGCACGUCUUGACGGUACCUAAUCAGAAAGCCACGGCUAACUACGUG